rnacentral:rRNA from 1 species
CCUACGGGAGGCUGCAGUGAGGAAUAUUGGUCAAUGGCCGGAAGGCUGAACCAGCCAUGCCGCGUGAAUGUCAGUGCCCUAUGGGCGUUAAACUUCUUUUGUGCGGGAGCAAUAAUGGUCACGUGUGGCCAGACGAGAGUACCGGACGAAUAAGCAUCGGCUAACUCCGUGCCAGCGGCCGCGGUAAUACGGGGGAUGCAAGCGUUGUCCGGAGUUCUGGGGGUUAAAGGGUGCGUAGGGUGUGAGGUAAGUCACGGGUGUAAUGCCCCCGCUCAACGGGGUGAAGUGCCAUUGAUACUGGCUUGCUGGAAUGCGGAUGCCGUGGGAGGAAUGUGUGGUGUAGCGGUGAAAUGCAUAGAUAUCACACAGAACACCGAUUGCGAAGGCAUCUCACGAAUCCGCGAUUGACGCUGAUGCACGAAAGCGUGGGUAUCAAACAGGAUUAGAUACCCCAGUAGUC